CUUCACCGACCCCAACCACAGCGGCUCAGCCCGGUUCUGCCCGUAUGUGGCCAGCAACGCCUGCGCCUC
rfam:Actinokineospora bangkokensis strain 44EHW Scaffold17, whole genome shotgun sequence.